UACGAAGGGGGCGAGCGUUGUUCGGAAUUACUGGGCGUAAAGGGCGCGCAGGCGGCUCUGAAAGUCAGAUGUGAAAGCCCCGGGCUCAACCUGGGAAUGGCAAUGGAUACUGGCAGGCUAGAGUGCGGUAGAGGGUAGUGGAAUUCCCGGUGUAGCGGUGAAAUGCGUAGAGAUCGGGAGGAACACCGGUGGCGAAGGCGGCGAUCUGGGUAGAUACUGACGCUGAGGUGCGAAAGCGUGGGGAGCAAACAGG
rnacentral:rRNA from 1 species